rnacentral:rRNA from 1 species
CUGAAUAGGGCGCUUAGUCAGAUGCUGCAGACCCGAAACGAAGUGAUCUAUCCAUGAGCAAGUUGAAGCUAGUGUAAGAACUAGUGGAGGACUGAACCCAUAGGCGUUGAAAAGCCCCGGGAUGACUUGUGGAUAGGGGUGAAAGGCCAAUCAAACUUCGUGAUAGCUGGUUCUCUCCGAAAUAUAUUUAGGUAUAGCGUUGUGUCGUAAUAUAAGGGGGUAGAGCACUGAAUGGGCUAGGGCAUACACCAAUGUACCAAACCCUAUCAAACUCCGAAUACCUUAUAUGUAAUCACAGCAGUCAGGCGGCGAGUGAUAAAAUCCGUCGUCAAGAGGGAAACAACCCAGACUACCAGCUAAGGUCCCUAAAUCUUACUUAAGUGGAAAACGAUGUGAAGUUACUUAAACAACCAGGAGGUUGGCUUAGAAGCAGCCAUCCUUUAAAGAAAGCGUAAUAGCUCACUGGUCUAGUGAUUUUGCGCGGAAAAUAUAACGGGGCUAAAGUAAGUACCGAAGCUGUAGACUUAGUUUACUAAGUGGUAGGAGAGCGUUCUAUUUGCGUCGAAGGUAUACCGGUAAGGAGUGCUGGAGCGAAUAGAAGUGAGCAUGCAGGCAUGAGUAGCGAUAAUUAAUGUGAGAAUCAUUAACGCCGUAAACCCAAGGUUUCCUACGCGAUGCUCGUCAUCGUAGGGUUAGUCGGGUCCUAAGUCGAGUCCGAAAGGGGUAGACGAUGGCAAAUUGGUUAAUAUUCCAAUACCAACAUUAGUGUGCGAUGGAAGGACGCUUAGGGCUAAGGGGGCUAGCGGAUGGAAGUGCUAGUCUAAGGUCGUAGGAGGUUAUACAGGCAAAUCCGUAUAACAAUACUCCGAGAACUGAAAGGCUUUUUGAAGUCUUCGGAUGGAUAGAAGAACCCCUGAUGCCGUCGAGCCAAGAAAAGUUUCUAAGUUUAGCUAAUGUUGCCCGUACCGUAAACCGACACAGGUGGGUGGGAUGAGUAUUCUAAGGCGCGUGGAAGAACUCUCUUUAAGGAACUCUGCAAAAUAGCACCGUAUCUUCGGUAUAAGGUGUGGUUAGCUUUGUAUUAGGAUUUACUCCGAAAGCAAGGAAACUUACAACAAAGAGUCCCUCCCGACUGUUUACCAAAAACACAGCACUCUGCUAACUCGUAAGAGGAUGUAUAGGGUGUGACGCCUGCCCGGUGCUCGAAGGUUAAUUGAUGGGGUUAGCAUUAGCGAAGCUCUUGAUCGAAGCCCGAGUAAACGGCGGCCGUAACUAUAACGGUCCUAAGGUAGCGAAAUUCCUUGUCGGUUAAAUACCGACCUGCAUGAAUGGCGUAACGAGAUGGGAGCUGUCUCAAAGAGGGAUCCAGUGAAAUUGUAGUGGAGGUGAAAAUUCCUCCUACCCGCGGCAAGACGGAAAGACCCCGUGGACCUUUACUACAGCUUGACACUGCUACUUGGAUAAGAAUGUGCAGGAUAGGUGGGAGGCUUUGAGUAUAUGACGCCAGUUGUAUAUGAGCCAUUGUUGAGAUACCACUCUUUCUUAUUUGGGUAGCUAACCAGCUUGAGUUAUCCUCAAGUGGGACAAUGUCUGGUGGGUAGUUUGACUGGGGCGGUCGCCUCCCAAAUAAUAACGGAGGCUUACAAAGGUUGGCUCAGAACGGUUGGAAAUCGUUCGUAGAGUAUAAAGGUAUAAGCCAGCUUAACUGCAAGACAUACAAGUCAAGCAGAGACGAAAGUCGGUCUUAGUGAUCCGGUGGUUCUGUGUGGAAGGGCCAUCGCUCAAAGGAUAAAAGGUACCCCGGGGAUAACAGGCUGAUCUCCCCCAAGAGCUCACAUCGACGGGGAGGUUUGGCACCUCGAUGUCGGCUCAUCGCAUCCUGGGGCUGGAGCAGGUCCCAAGGGUAUGGCUGUUCGCCAUUUAAAGCGGUACGCGAGCUGGGUUCAGAACGUCGUGAGACAGUUCGGUCCCUAUCUGCCGUGGGCGUAAGAAGAUUGAAGAGAUUUGACCCUAGUACGAGAGGACCGGGUUGAACAAACCACUGGUGUAGCUGUUGUUCUGCCAAGAGCAUCGCAGCGUAGCUAAGUUUGGAAAGGAUAAACGCUGAAAGCAUCUAAGCGUGAAGCCAACUCUAAGAUGAAUCUUCUCUAAGCUCUCUAGAAGACUACUAGUUUGAUAGGCUGGGUGUGUAAUGGAUGAAAGUCCUUUAGCUGACCAGUACUAAUAGAGCGUUUGGCUUAUCUUUAAUAAAGCAU